GAAUUUUUCAAAUAUUUAUAUUUCAGGGGAAAUCUUGUGAUAGAGCUAUGUGUAGAAGAACUACACAUAGUUUUUGACAUCCCAGCAUAUGGAUCAUACAUCGUACUGUCUCUGACUGAUACUGUCAUUUCCAGGGGAAACAGCGUGCAACAUUUUGACCAGUAAAGGAAUGGCAUGAGGAAAUAAGUGUUUGAUGAAACUUCUGCAUGCAUUAACUGAUGUCAGUGUAUGUAACAUGAAAGGGGUUUGACUAUCUAUUUAAAUUACUUACAACAUUUGAGCUGCUCUGUCUGUGUUUUGACUUGUUUUUUCUUUCCCAGAAGAGAACAACCUCGCUACAGCUAACUUCCCUCUAUUUGUAGACACAGCAACUGAAGCACAUCCUAGCCCCAGAUGAUGAUUUAAAAACACCCAGGUCUCCCAAUAUUCUAAACACAAAUACAGCUUGUUUUAGAAACAAGAAGAAGAAAAAGAAGAAGAAGAAGAAGAAGAAGAAGAAGAAGAAGAAGAAGAAGAAGAAGAAGAGGAAGAGGAAGAGGAAGAGGAAGAGGAAGAGGAAGAGGAAGGAAAGCUUCAGGUUCUUUUGGAGGUGGGGUGGAAAUUCAUUAAUGGGGAAGGAAUAGUUGACUAUUUAGAGGUGCAACAAAAUGCACAGCUAAAUUACAUAUAACUGUCUGAAGCUGGCUUACUACUGUAAACACUCUUGAGUUUUCACAGUUUCUCUUAUGAGUUGUGACAAGAUGACAACAAAACUACUGCCUUAAUUACAUGAAGAUUGGAAGGUAUGUAACAACCCCUCAAGAUGACUGAAGGAAUUUCACAUGCAGUACAAACUCAAGACUAGCAUUUAAAUAUAUCCAGAUAAAAAAAUUUAAAGCUACAUGGAGACUACAAUUUUGAUAUCCUUCUCUGUUCUUCGAUAUAUGCUACUGUUUAAGUUUUGAACCAGAAUCCUGUUAACUCUUUUUAGCAAAAUGGAAAUAUAUUUUCUGAAAGUUGGUUACAUCCCUUGUUGGAAAUCUUUGUUUUCUUCACAAAUUAUUGAACACCAUAGUCAUUGAUGAUAUAAAUGAUAUCAUUUUGCUAAGAUUUUUUUCAACCAAUAACGUUAUUUUCAUUCCUUAUUGGGUGAGACCUCACACAUGACUAAACUUAUGCUCGUCAGUUUCCAGCACUCCAUCCUUCACUGUUUCAAGGUGCCAUUUCUGAUCAUGGUAGCUCUUCACUUAUAAAGCAGGUAAAGGAAUAAAUACACAUCAUUCUUCACAGUACAGUAGUUCUUUGACUUCCAGAAUCUUCUGGACUUGGCCACUGCCCAGUUGUGCUAUUUUAAAGACCAGCGACCUUCUGACUGCUGCAUGGAGAACUGCCUCACAAUUCCUCAUCUGUGACACGUGGUUGGAAGCUGCUCAGAUAAGAAACCUUGCGAUGUUCUUAUUGUUUCCUUUAUUCAUUUAUUUCCUUUUCAUCUCUUCAGUUCCCUGCACAGCAACAAUUUAGAAAUCUGGCUGCUGCCAUUCACUCUUGGAAGAGCAACAGCCUAUGAGAGCUGUGCUGCUCUGAGCAGCAGGGCUUCUUUCUGUACCAGGAGGUGGGCUUAGGUUUGAGUAGUCCUGUCUUGCCAGUUAGUGUAAAUGGCUUGUAUUUGGGCCAGUGAAAUGGAGGAGACCAUUUCUGAUGAAAGAUUAGACUGUAAUGAAGGCAAGAAUCAAACAGGGCAGUGAAACACAUCCCUAGCUCAUGACUGGAUCAUCCAUCAUCACUGAAUGCCCCAGGGAUCUGGAUAUUCAUCACCAUUAGUGAACAACGCUAAAAUCACAAAACACAUAUCCCCAAAGAAAGUGGGUCAUUAGUGUGUUCUCUGAAGUCAAAAGAUUUCAUCUCUAACUCUUUCUCAUGUUAAAAAUAAACCCAGGCAUAAUAAAGUUUUAAGGAGUUUAUUUGCAUAAACAGCCAUUCAUGAAUCAGGCAGCCUCAAUUCAAAGGUCUUUUAGGAAUUUAUUGAGGAAACACAAGGGAAAGGCUUUUGUAAAGUGAGAAGGAAAAGAAAGGGAAGGGAAGGGAAGAGGAAGAAAAGGCAAGAAACAUUUUACUUGCUUCAUUAUUACCUUAUUUGGUCUAUCUUACUAGAAUAUUCCUAGGUAUAUUGUUUGCUACAUUUGAUUGUCGUGUUUUUAAAAAUAUAGGUAUUUACAAGAAAUAACUCAGAUUAAUUUUACCUGUGUUUUCAAAAGAAGCACAUUCAAAAUUGCUUCCAUGGUUUGCUCACCUUUUCCAGCUCAAAGAAUUCUCAACUAUAGUAUUUAUUUUAAUUUAGCUAAAUAAUUACCCUUUUUUGACAUUUUAUUGACUGAACUUAGGGGGUCGUCAACUAUUUUAUGUUACUCUCAGCCACCCCAUGUUGGCUUUUGUUUUUGUGGUCAUCAGAAGGUGGCACAGCCAGAUUUCAGAACAAUUUGAGUGUAUGUAGUUUUCUGCAGCCUGUUCUGCAUGGAGAUCAUCUGAUGAGUUAGCGACUGCUGGAAAGCAUUUAACAUUCUUAAGAGAUUAGAACACAGAGAAGACAUUAUCAAUAUGACUACUAUGAGAAUGAUAUCCAAAAGUCUGGAAAAUACCACAAAGCAGAGGUGUGCUGGAGCCAAGAUUUAAUGAACUAAAUAAAUCAUUGGAAGAAGCAUUACAUUACUGAUGAAAAAUUUCCAUUCUUUAAAAUCUUUUACAUUUUGACUAACAAUCCCUUCUGCUAUGUCUAUUACUUUCUCCUGUGUACUGUGUUUCUGAAUCUUCAACAUGCUCAGGUUGUCUCAGUUUCCAUUCAGAUAUGGUAUAAGUGGUAUCUAAAAAUAUUAAGUGUAAUAAAAAUAACUAACUUUUACUAUCUACCAUAAGUAAGUACCAUGUUGGUUUUUUAUACGUAUAAGCACCUCUAAUUCUUACGUUAUAUUCAUUUCAUAUAUGAAUUUAAAUGAGUAGUCCAAGGUCACCUGUUAAUAAUUAGCUAAGGUAAACUUCCAUCCCAAAUCUCUUAGAAUUCAUUGUUCAUAUUCUUUUGAACACUCUGUGCAUCCACUAACACAGUAACACUACUUUUUUUUUUUUAGAGCAGAGUAUAUUUAUAUAUUUAUUGAGGGAAAGAAAGCUUUUGUCUAAGAGAGAAACAGAAGGGGUCCCAACUGGGUUACCCAAGACUGUCUUUUCUAGGGACAUUUAUAGAACCAUGAAGUGAGAUAGCUCAAAGAUGGGGAAAAUUGGGAACUGGAAAAGAAGAUGGGCAUAGGAUGGGACAGAUCCAUGGUCAAUCAAUAAAUUAAUUGUUCAGGAAAAAUUGACCAAAUCAGGGCCAAAUUAGGAAGUAAAUCAUGUAGCAAGUGAGCAUUCUUACAGAACAAUGACUUUUUCUGUAGGGGGCUGGGAUCCUGGUUCCCAGCUUUUCAAGGUGAUCCAUACCUAUUUAGAAUAUCAAUCCCCAGAACCUAAGAAGAUAGCGGAACAAUAAACAACAGAGUAAACAGCCUCUCUGAGAGAAACACCCCAGAUGAUAGAAUACUGGAGGAGACAUGAAGGAAGGAAGUGGUUCUCCUCAACUCAGGAAGAACGUAAAGUGAGAAUUGAGGCCCAUAGAGACAAUUAAAAAAAAAAAGAAAGAAAGAAAGAAAGAAAGAAAGAAAGAAAGAAAAGCUUAAAUAGAAGAAGCAGCUGGUAGCUGGUAGUGCUUUUACCCAGAGUCAGAACUGCCAUGUGAGAAGAACUACUGAAACCUGGGGAUGCAUGGUAACAGUGAAACUGGUAGUUGACAAGCCCAAAGGCCUCUGCAGGGAGACAGUGGCAAAUGGGAACCGUGGGGCAGGGAACUGCACUGGCUGGCAGUGAAUGUGGGGGACUCAGUCUUCCUGUGGGAGUGGAUGAUUAGCCAGGGACCAUUUUGGAGUUGGGCGGGAUAAGCCCAGAUCCAGAACUGAAGCCAGCUUCAUUCAGCCACUCCUAGCUCAGAACAGACUGGUGGAAAUUGCUUGGACUGAGUCCAACUCCUGUGCACAAUGCAACAGCCAUUACCAAGGUUUCUCUACAGUUGUCCUCAAACAGCUCCACCCUGCUGUAUGCACUACAUCUGCUGAGGAUUCCCUGUGGUUAACCAGCUCAGGAGGGAGGUGUCAGCCUGCCCCACUCCUGCUCACACUCUAUCAGCCAUGGAUAGCCAUACACCAGUGCACACAAUGGUCACCAUCAGAUAUCCCUGGCCAGCAUGAGCUAGAAAAUGCAAACAGUCUCACUUCAGAGAAAUUGUAGCCAAUACAGGAAGUGCCAGGGACCCCACUAACCAUUUAUCUGGAAGAAACCAGGAACAUGACAAGAGUAAGAAGCAAAAGGCAGUCUCUGGCCUUCAGCCCACACAAUACUAGUCAAAGAGAUAUAAAUGUGGAAGAGAUUGGGUGUCACAAAUCUGCAGUUUCUGAAGCAACAGCAACUGAAAUAAGUAAAUAAGUAAAUAAAUAACUUCAAGAGGCUAUAAAAGAACUUUGAACAGAAAUACUAUCUCUUGUAAAAGAAGCAAUGAGAAACAUAAUGAAAGAAUUGCUAAGCGCUUCUAAAGAAGACACAAGCGGAACAAUAGAGGAGCAUAGAAAAGUGAGGGAAGCCUUCAAUGAAGAAUAUAAAAACAUUAGAAUACAUGAAACAGAUUCAAAGAGAUUACCAGGUAAUUAAAAAUUCCAUUGAAAGCUGGUAAAACUGCUUGAAAGAAACCAAAGAUAGACUAUCAAAUUUUGAAUACAGGUUUGUAGCUUGUGAUCAUGAAAGGAAAGAUCUCUUAAAAAAAAAAAAAAAAAAAAAAAAAAAAAAAAAAAGAACCAGGAAGUAACAAUACAAAGGCUAGAAGAUGACAAGAGGAAGGAUAACUUACGAAUAAAAAAUGUGAGUGAAGAUGCAGGGGUAAACACAAAUGAAAUCCAAAGGCAGUUUACAGAAACAAAGAAAACUUCCCAAACUUAGGAAAAGGAAAUGAUAUUCAGAUAAGUGAGGCAUACAGCACUCCAAUCAGUUAUAACCAAAA